CCGGCUAAUUCCGUGCCAGCAGCCGCGGUAAUACGGAGGGUGCGAGCGUUAAUUGGAAUUACUGGGCGUAAAGCGCAUGCAGGUGGUUUGUUAAGUCAGAUGUGAAAGCCCGGGGCUCAACCUCGGAAUUGCAUUUGAAACUGGCAAACUAGAGUACUGUAGAGGGGGGUAGAAUUUCAGGUGUAGCGGUGAAAUGCGUAGAGAUCUGAAGGAAUACCGGUGGCGAAGGCGGCCCCCUGGACAGAUACUGACACUCAGAUGCGAAAGCGUGGGGAGCAAACAGGAUUAGAUACCCUGGUAGUCCACGCCGUAAACGAUGUCUACUUGGAGGUUGUGGCCUUGAGCCGUGGCUUUCGGAGCUAACGCGUUAAGUAGACCGCCUGGGGAGUACGGUCGCAAGAUUAAAACUCAAAUGAAUUGACGGGGGCCCGCACAAGCGGUGGAGCAUGUGGUUUAAUUCGAUGCAACGCGAAGAACCUUACCUACUCUUGACAUCUACAGAAGCCAGCGGAGACGCAGGUGUGCCUUCGGGAACUGUAAGACAGGUGCUGCAUGGCUGUCGUCAGCUCGUGUUGUGAAAUGUUGGGUUAAGUCCCGCAACGAGCGCAACCCUUAUCCUUGUUUGCCAGCACUUCGGGUGGGAACUCCAGGGAGACUGCCGGUGAUAAACCGGAGGAAGGUGGGGACGACGUCAAGUCAUCAUGGCCCUUACGAGUAGGGCUACACACGUGCUACAAUGGCGCAUACAGAGGGCGGCCAACUUGCGAAAGUGAGCGAAUCCCAAAAAGUGCGUCGUAGUCCGGAUUGGAGUCUGCAACUCGACUCCAUGAAGUCGGAAUCGCUAGUAAUCGUGGAUCAGAAUGCCACGGUGAAUACGUUCCCGGGCCUUGUACACACCGCCCGUCACACCAUGGGAGUGGGCUGCAAAAGAAGUGGGUAGUUUAACCUUCGGGAGGACGCUCACCACUUUGUGGUUCAUGACUGGGGUGAAGUCGUAACAAGGUAACCG
rnacentral:rRNA from 1 species